CUCAUCAAUAGCGAGGGGGGACGAUCCUGUCUUCAAAAAGCAUCAUAUCCCGUUUUUAAAACUAGAUUAGAAAAGAAAAAAGCGCCAACUCUUUCCCUUAAAUUUUCCCAACCCACGUCCGACUCCCUUAGAAUAAAACAUAAAUACCCUAGACACAAACAAAACUGACCUAGGGACGCAAAUCACCAUCGCCCAAGAUGCCAUCUCUAUCUCUAACUUUCGCCUUUCUUUCGAAAAUUUGGGUCUUUUGUUUGAUUUGCAAAGAUGACAUAAGGUUUGAUGAAAUACUUGUUGUCUCUCUUCUAAUUUAUCACUUGCGUUCUCGGACUGUCGUCUGCAUCCAACAUCACUGUCUUCCCCAGAUACCUUCUCAAAAUUUCCAUUGAGUAUUAAAGAUACUAACUCAUCUUCUUUUUUCAUUCCCAUGUGUUUUAAUUCAGUUUAUUGUUUCAUAGGGGAAUAAUAAGACUACCAAAGGUAAGCGCUUCAAUCUCUAGUUUUGCAAUGAGGGUUUCAAUUACGGUAGCUUUUUACUUUCAAAAUUUCAAUUUCUAUUACCAAAGGUAAGGGUUUAUACAUAUAUCAAUCUCUGUUUAUUUUAUUUGAUCUCUACUAAGCAUUGGUAUUAUGAAUGAAUUGCUAUUUACAAAUUGAUAUGUAUAAACCCUUAUUAAAAUGAUUGAUAUAUAUGUAAACAAUUAGGCCAUUCAUAUUGAGAUUGACAAGUCCUUGAUUUUUGUACCUUUAUCUUUAGCUUUUCUGUGGGAAUAUUGGGGCUUUUUUAGAAAAAUAAGUUGUGAAAGGGCACACAUAACUUGUUUGAUGAAAUGCAUGUGUUGUGACAAUUAGAAAAUUUUUGAAUUAUUAGGAAUUGAGUGUUAAGGAUUGUACUGGACGGUUAUGAGUGAAUCACAUAAGUAUAUGAACAUCACGGGUUUUUCUAGUUUCAAGGUCCUUAUAAUAACUAGUGGGCUAAGUAUUUAUAAGAAUUGAUGUAAGAAAAAAAACCGUCCUAUUUACUUCUCAAUCAAUCAUUUUCUGUUUAAUGUAAUGAUGCUCAAAGGAGUGUAAAAUUCCUUUUUGAAGAGUGACUAUAUAUUGAAGAUGUUGAAGCAGAGAAGGCUAGAAAACAAAGUUAGCUUGUAACUGUGCGAAUCGUCACCUUUCAUAAGUAGAGAAAAAUGAGGAUGAAAGAUAGGGAAUGUACAAUAAUUCAAGUGGCGUUGGAGGGGGAGAAAGACAGGGAAGAAGAAACAUGUUUUCUUAUAUAAGAGUUGAGAAAUAGACUUCAUCGCUAAUCGUAGAUUUCAAACAAGCUAAAUUUUAGAAGAUGUAUACAAAUUCACUAGUCACUUGUACAUGAAUAUAGUAAACACAAAGUUAAUCUCAGUUAAGUCAACAUAGUUUGUACAGGGACCAAAUAUUGAGUGAAGUGUAAAAGCCAAUAAUAAGAAGAAAAGCAUAGGAUAGACUUAAGAUCGAAUUAACUAUGCUUCAAAGCCGAACUAGUUGGGGUUAGUCAUAUAAAUCAUAGUGCAUAUAUUACGUAUUAACUACUGACUGAACUAUACACAGUGACUAGUUAAUCAUGGUACUACAGUGAGUCAGUGACUAUCAUCACGAGUUUAGAAUAAAAGGUCAUGUCCCUAGUUUCUUUUUUAUUUAGCAUUUGUUGGUUUCUCCACUAGUUUAGAUUUGUAACAUCUCUACAUUAUAUUAGAGUUGUCAUAGUCUAAACCCUUGAGAAGCCCUUUCAGCAGCAUGAAUAUGAUGUCUGACAAUAAUACUCAUAUUUUUUUUCUUAUAUCAAUUUAUAUUCAGGGUGUUCAGCACUGAGUUCUCCAAAUACAUUUUAGCAAUUCCUUUGUCCUUUUUCAUUUUUGUUCUUGGUUAGGUUAUUUAUAGAAAUAUGAGCUUAUAUUUGAUGAUUCUUUUAGUUACCAGGAGGAGGAGGAUUUGAAGGUGUUUUUCUCAGUGGAUGGAUGGGAUAAAUGCCUAUAUUGCUUUAUAGUGUUAUUGUUAUGUUGAUGUUAUAUUAAUGUCACUUUGGAAAGGUCUACCUUCAUUUCGACUUUAUUACUUUGCUAAAGACCUUCAGUAGCUUUAACAUUUAUGUUCUCCAUUUUCAGUUUUAGCAAAAUCCAUAAGUUUUUUAUUCAUGUAAAAAGUUCAACAAAAGAGUUGCUUUACUCAUGCUUUCAGAAAUGUCAUUUAGAAGCAUGUCAGUAUCAAUAUAUUUGCGAUUCCGAAACACUAGACUGAGGAUGGUUUUACAUGUAACUAGAUGUGCUUAUAUUUUAUAUUAGCCAGAGAACUUUGACCUAGAUCAUUUUGUACCGAGUAUUUUCUUGGUAAUUGCAAGGUUUGAGUAACUUGAGUUUGAUAUGGGUCUUUCAUAUAUUUGCUGCUUGUACUUUGUUAAAUGUCUUACCAUGGAACGUCAUCUUCAAAAAAUUUCCUGCUUUGCUGGUAGUGUCCUUUUAUUGUUAGUGUUGUGAUUUUAUAUGCUUAAGAACAUGUGCACAUUUGAUACACAUGCUGGUUAAUAGUUUUUUGUUUUAAAUGUAUUAGUAUAUUUGAGGAAAACCAUUUUAAAAAUGUUUGGUGCAAUUUCGAAACUAAAGUGGACAUUUUGAAGAUACUUUAAUUUUUACCAGGGAAAAGGCUUAUAUACUUCAAUACAUUCGAGAAAACUAUAGGGUGACACGCCCUAAUCAUUUAUGAGGUCCUUAGCUUUUGAUUAUAAUUUUAGAACUUUACUAACUUUGAAGCUAUUGGCAGAUGAAUGGGAAAAAAGAUUUUCAGAAUUAUGUUUUGAUAAUCUACAUUUGGGGAGUAUUCAUGACAUGUUUCUUUUCCAGCUACUCAAAAAUGUAUUGCUGAUACUUUCAGCUUUCACUAUCUAAUCACUACCAAAAUCUUUCUCUACUUUAUAUCCAGUAAACUUGUUGUCUCUUUCUUUAUUUUAUCCUUCUCCAGCUAGAUGAUGUAUGUGUAUGCAAAUUUCUCGUGCCAAGUGACUAUGCUGGUUGUAAACCUGCCAGCGUAUUUGCUAUGAUAUAAACUCAGUAAAUAUUUCAUAUGUACACCUUUAAUUUGAUUGGUUAGUUUAUGAUGAAAAGAUUGAAUUGAGUACAAAAUAAGAAAAGCACUAGUGAAGAUUACAUUAGUGACUUAUCAAAUAUGCAUGUCCUACUUUGAGCUGCAGAACUGGGAUAAAUUUAAGUCUUCAAUUGGUGAAUUUAUGGCUCCUACAGGCUGGUUUAGGUUAGAGCAGUGGCGGAGCCACAUAGAGCCGAGGGUGUUCAUCCAAACCCCUUCGGCGAAAAAAAGCAUUGUUUUUAUAAAGUUAAAAUUAUUUUUUAUGUAUAUAUUUAGAUCUUAAACCCCCUUAGGCUUCUUCGUCUCUUUAUUUUUUUAUAUUUUGAACCCUCUCGGCGGAAAUCCUAGCUCCGCCACUGGGUUAGAGUCUAAGCUAGUGUAAAGAUGAUCCUCGUUUUAUGCCAAAUGUGAGUAAAUUGAUGUUUUUAGAUAGAUUUUUUUGGAUUUUUUUGGUUGCAGUGACAGGUUACAAGAAGUUGGACUUUUGCAAGUUAUGUACUCUAGCUUUUGUCACACGGUAUUUCUUUCUUCCUUUCAAAGUCUUUUUCUAGUUUUGUGUUUGUUGUCGUGUGAUGAUGCCAUUGAAAUCUGACCAUAUUUUUUCCUACUGUGCCUUGCAGUUGGUUAGUUUUGAGAUCUUUUGACUUCUAAUUGUAAUGGGAACUUCAAAGAUUGUGUAGACUAUUGAAUGAACUCUAGAUUCGUUCUAAGGAUUGAUACAUUUUCUAUUAUUUCCAAUUGCCUGAAUGAAAUCAAGGGCUGAAUGGAGACAUCUCUUGAACUAUUUGCUCAUUUAAUACUUCCUAGAAGGUUUAAUUUUUUGGACCGAUUUGGUUAUUGAAAUCUAUGAUAAUCCUGCUUCUAAUUCUGAAUUUCACAUGCCUAAAUAUCUUGUUUUAUUCUUGCAGUGAUACAUUAAAUGGUGCUACAAAUGAUUAUUUCCGUUGUGUUCUUCCGCGAGAUAGGUGUUGUCAAACAUGUGCAUAGAGCUGUAUUUGUUGACAUUUGGAGCCAAUUACUGUGGAUGAAGUGAGAAUUGUUGUAUCCAGGCAAUGCUUGAAUUGCAAGAACUUAAUUGGCCUCUAAUUCAUACGAAGGGAAAAACAUGUGUUGCUUAAGUUUUCAGAAUGACGUUAGCAGCCAGUUUUUACUACAUUUGGCAAGAGAGGAAUAAAAGAAUCUUCCAAGUAGAGAAAUUCUGAAAUUCUUAGCAAGCAGAUCAGAUGUUCAUGGUAGAGGUGUUUUGUUUCCUAGACAAGCCAGUAAAUUGGAAGAAAUUAACAUGUAUCCUUAUAAUCUGUGUAGUCCUUUGAAAUAGGGAGAUAGCUUUCAUAACUAGGAGACUCUGAACUUGGGGCUGUUUGUCCAAGUUACCUGGUUAUGCUUUGUAAAUACGCUAUGUACUUACCAAACAAUAUAUGAAGAAUUAUGAAUGACUGGAUCAUUUUGUAUA